rnacentral:rRNA from 1 species
UACGAAGGGGGCUAGCGUUGCUCGGAAUCACUGGGCGUAAAGCGCACGUAGGCGGGUCGUUAAGUCAGGGGUGAAAUCCUGGAGGCUCAACUCCAGAACUGCCCUUGAUACUGGCGAUCUCGAGUUCGGGAGAGGUGAGUGGAACUGCGAGUGUAGAGGUGAAAUUCGUAGAUAUUCGCAAGAACACCAGUGGCGAAGGCGGCUCACUGGCCCGAUACUGACGCUGAGGUGCGAAAGCGUGGGGAUCAAACAGGG